CACGUAGGCGGCUCGCCAAGUCGGAUGUGAAAACCCUCGGCUUAACCGAGGAAGUGCAUUCGAAACUAGCGAGCUUGAGUACGGGAGAGGAUCGCGGAAUUCCCGGUGUAGAGGUGAAAUUCGUAGAUAUCGGGAGGAACACCAGUGGCGAAGGCGGCGGUCUGGACCGAUACUGACGCUGAGGUGCGAAAGCGUGGGGAGCAAACAG
rnacentral:rRNA from 1 species